rnacentral:rRNA from 1 species
AGUGAACGCUGGCGGUAGGCCUAACACAUGCAAGUCGAACGGCAGCACAGUAAGAGCUUGCUCUUACGGGUGGCGAGUGGCGGACGGGUGAGGAAUACAUCGGAAUCUACUUUUUCGUGGGGGAUAACGUAGGGAAACUUACGCUAAUACCGCAUACGACCUACGGGUGAAAGCAGGGGAUCUUCGGACCUUGCGCGAAUGAAUGAGCCGAUGUCGGAUUAGCUAGUUGGCGGGGAAAAGGCCCACCAAGGCGACGAUCCGUAGCUGGUCUGAGAGGAUGAUCAGCCACACUGGAAGUGAGACACGGUCCAGACUCCUACGGGAAGCAGCAGUGUGGAAUAUUGGACAAUGAGCGCAAGCCUGCUCCAGCCAUACCGCGUGGGUGAAGAAGGCCUUCGGGUUGUAAAGCCCUUUUGUUGGGAAAGAAAAGCAGCAGGUUAAUACCCCGCUGUUCUGACGGUACCCAAAGAAUAAGCACCGGCUAACUUCGUG